AGAAAAUAAAGACCAAAGGGCAUGAUGGUCAUUUCACAUCCCUGGUCCCUUUUAAUCUGCCAAAAACGCCUCCUCCCUUCUCAUUCUCCUUUGCUACCGACUUGAAUAGAAGGAGAAGGAACAUAGAAAGCUUGAAAGGGCGAGAGGAAGACGAGCGACCACGAGGAAGAAUCAGAGGUGUUUUCUUUGCAUGUAAGCAUGCUUUUCUGAUUAAGGAUUUGAUAUUUGUUCAAGUCCAUCAAGAAGAGAGCCAAGGAAGAAGCAGGGGGAAGCUAGUGCGGAAGAAAAAGUAAAAGCAAGAGCAAGUACUCCUAAGGGCAAGGGAGUAGUGAUCGGUGGAGUUUGAAGGUGCAGGAAGUUGGCGAUCUUUUGUAUAUAUAUUUUGCUUAAAAUGCAUCUUAUUUUAAAGUGAAGAUAUAUUGUAUAUCUAUUUUGGUAUGUAAAUAUUCCUCCAUAAGGAGGUGGCUAAGGGCAGAUAAACCAUGGUAACUACUAUUGAAGGAAAUGAUCAAUAUUUUGAUAUAUAGUUAUUAUUUUGUCUAAAAUUAUAUG